rnacentral:piRNA from 1 species
UAAGUGUCUGUGUUAACGACCUUGUGCA